UCAGCUGUUUUACUUGCUGUAACUGUUUCUUGCUCCCCACAGUUCUACAUUGUCCCAGUAAUUCUACGCCUUUCAUAUUUCUUCUUUUUGUACCUAAAACAUAUAUAUGAACUUUACUUCUUGUUAAUGCUCACAAUUAUAAUGGUUAUUAUAAUGAUUUCAAGCAAACAGCUCUUGUUUAAAAAAGUCUCUCUAACAUACUGUAAGUAAAGACUAUAAUUUUAGGAUUGGCAGCCGCUUUCCAUCUACUGGGAUUAACGUUCAAAAGCAAAUAAAGAUUACUGGAAAUAUGGUUCUUUGUUUACAAUAACUUUUGUGUAUGAUGAUGCAUAGGGUUUUCUUUUCUUUUUUUUUCUUUUUUUUAAGGUUAAAAAAAGCAUCAGCAUUUCCUAUAUAGCAUGCUGAGAGGAGAAAUGAGCUGGAAGGCACAUCUGCAGCCCCAGGUCAAGUUUUCAUCUUACGCUCAUCAGAUUGAGUGUAGAAGAGCUGAAGUGCUCUUGGAUGAAGUGAGUCUCUUGAACACACCAGUUAAUGAAGAUGUCUUUAGAGAACAUGGCAUGGUUUACAAACACUGAAGUCCGUAAGGCUGGGUUUAUAAUUCUCAAGCACACAUCAUCUCCCCCUCCCCCUUACAAUUCUCUUCCCUGCAUCUUCCUUUCUUCAGCACAGGAAAUGAAGAUAAUUGUUUCUAAGA